UAGAGGUCCGCCUGCCUGUGACUAUAUGUUCAACGGCCGCGGUAUUUUGACCGUGCGAAGGUAGCGUAAUCACUUGUCUUUUAAAUGGGGACCUGUAUGAAUGGCACAACGAGGGCUCGACUGUCUCCUUUUUCUGGUCAAUGAAAUUGAUCUUCCCGUGCAGAAGCGGGAAUAUUAACAUAAGACGAGAAGACCCUAUGGAGCUUUAGAUAACAAGGCAGACUGUGUUAAACACCCUUAUAAAAUAGGCCAAACUAGCUGAAAACUGCCCGAAUGUCUUUGGUUGGGGCGACCGCGGCGAAACAAAAAACCCCCGUGUAGAAAGAGGGAACCACCCUCCAAACCAAGAGCUCCCACUCUAAUAAACAGAAUAUCUGACCCAUAAGAUCCGGCAAUGCCGAUUAACGGACCGAGUUACCCUAGGGAUAACAGCGCAAUCCCCUUCUAGAGUUCAUAUCGACAAGGGGGCUUACGACCUCGAUGUUGGAUCAGGACAUCCUAAUGGUGCAGCCGCUAUUAAGGGUUCGUUUGUUCAACGAUUAAAGUCCUACGUGAUCUG
rnacentral:rRNA from 1 species